rnacentral:lncRNA from 1 species
UAAAAUGCGGACCAUCUCAAAGCAAGUAUGCUUUUGCUCUACACAUCCCUGCAGUAGAUUCACAUAAGAAUAAGAUGUUUGAAUCAUUUGCAAAUACCCCAACUUAAAGGAACAGAAAACAUACCAUGAAGUUCAGUAUUAAAUGACCUUCUUGAUCCACAGAUAAAUUAAUGGAAAGGACUUUCUGCAUGACACGCUGAAAUUUAGACCUCCACAUCUGUUAUUCAAAAUCCAGAAAGAAAGAAAGGAGCCAGGAAAGUUAGUCAGAAGACUCAGAACAACUACUGUUAAGAUUGAAAGAAGAAUGAAAUCGAUAAGAUAUCAAAAACUUCUAUCAGAUUUUAGCUCCAAAACACGUCAACAUUUUCAAAAUUUCUUGAGUCAAACUACUUGCCGCUUUUCAAAUAUUAGACUUUUAGUAUUUCGAGUAACUUCAGAUUGAGUAGACUAUAACUAGGAAAGGAGCAAAUGUCAAGAUAGAGUUUGAAACUUGCACGGGAAUGUUAAUCUAUCUGAUGAUUUUUGAAAAGAAAAAAAAAUAUAUCUGAACCCCAAUAACUAAUCCAUCUAGAGUUCAAUUUUUAGUAACGUGACAUCCUUAGUCAUGUUAAAUAUGCAUGCAGGUAAUAUAGAAGUAAAAUCAGAAGUUAUGCACCUGUCUAUAUGUACAGACUUGCCUAAGUUCAGAAAGAGUUUAGAAGCUCAAACAUUUUAAACUAGUUAGUCAUUUAAUAAGACUCCUGAAUAAUGGGGCUAAUUUAAAAGGUUGGGCUCCUUAAAUCCUUGUAAUCUGAACCACCCAUGAAGAUCUUGAAGGCAUCAGCUGUAAAAAUAUCACCAAAUAACAAUCAUAAGAAAGGAAACAAUUAAUUUCAGGAUACAUACAGUGUUACCCAAAACGUUCAUUUCGUUACAUGAUACGAAUGCGGGUACGCGGUACGCUAGGGCAUCUUUAUGUAAGUUAUUAUAAUUAGAAAUUCUCUUAAAAUCUAAAUGUAAUAAGCCUAUGUUUUGCAUAAAAUAUUUAGUUGAAUCAACAAGUUAAUUGUUUUAUAAAUAAUUUCAUUUCAAUGUUUGACCAUCUAAUGCUAAGUUAUAAUAUGGAUAUUUGUGUAAUUUUAGGUAAAACAACAAAAAAAAAUUCCGGUAUGUUAAAUUUAGAGUAUUGGUUCGAAAGAGUACCAUGUUUUGGUAUGCAAAUACCAAUACGCGAUUUUCUAGGUCAAUGAGAGAAGAAAGCUCGCAUGACCGAAAUCGUAUGAUUACCACAUGAGUAAAUUCCUUACUAACAACGUUGAAAUUUGAACCUGAAAAUGGACAUGAUAAUAGCAUGAUUGCAUGAGUGAAAAAUAACAGUGAGAAUGAUAUAACAUCGCCACUGCUUGUGUAUAAUUACUCUCCUCUAUAUUAAAAGAAAAAUAAAACAAAAACAAACGCGCACACACAUAAGAGAAAUAGAAGAAAAACUAACAGCAAUCCUUCUGUACUGCUACUGGAUUCACCAUUAGCUAUUCAAGACAAAAACAUAAUACAAACUAAUUAAUUCGAAAUGUCAAUGUUUAGACAAAUUUUGCCUUUGAAAAUGAUGUGAAUUUGCAGAUUAUAGGGUUUGGUCCUCAUAAAUUUUAAGCCCUAAAAAAGCUAUUAUUGAACACCAAAACACAAAUUGGAACGAAUCUAAGCCUGAUUUCAACCCAUACAACAAGAAAAUCCAUAUACAAAGUUCUAAUUUUGUUACCUUGGUCUAAAAUUGAUGAAUCGACGAGGAGGGCUCAUAUCUCUUCGGUUGGUUUGUCUCGCGAAAUGGCUGCAAGGUGAGUAGGAGGAGAGAGAAGGCAGAGAUUCGUCGCGACGAGAGAGGGAGAAGGGGCCGAAAGCCUACUCGCGUCUGUUUGCCUCUGCUUCCGAUGAGCUCUUCCGUCUGCUCCUUUGGAAGUGUGAGAGAGGGAGGGAAGGAGAUGGAGGGAAGGAGAUGGAAGAUGGAGAGAGAAUCGGGGAAACAAAUUUACAGAAAAAAGUGUGAGAGAAGAAUCUGUAUGCUUGGAAGUGUGAGAGACCUAAUUUGUUUAUGACCCGCGCGUUUUUUUUU